AACAUCGGAACGUGCCCAAUCGUGGGGGAUAACGCAGCGAAAGCUGUGCUAAUACCGCAUACGAUCUACGGAUGAAAGCAGGGGAUCGCAAGACCUUGCGCGAAUGGAGCGGCCGAUGGCAGAUUAGGUAGUUGGUGAGGUAAAGGCUCACCAAGCCUUCGAUCUGUAGCUGGUCUGAGAGGACGACCAGCCACACUGGGACUGAGACACGGCCCAGACUCCUACGGGAGGCAGCAGG
rnacentral:rRNA from 1 species